rnacentral:rRNA from 1 species
UACGUAGGUGGCGAGCGUUAUCCGGAAUGAUUGGGCGUAAAGGGUGCGUAGGUGGUUAAUUAAGUCUGAUGUGAAAGCCCACGGCUUAACCGUGGAGGGUCAUUGGAAACUGGUUGACUUGAGUGCAGAAGAGGGAAGUGGAAUUCCAUGUGUAGCGGUGAAAUGCGUAGAGAUAUGGAGGAACACCAGUGGCGAAGGCGGCUUCCUGGUCGGCAACUGACACUGAGGCGCGAAAGCGUGGGGAGCAAACAGG